GACUCACAUGCAAGUAGUUCAUUGGCCUCAAUGGGAUUACUCACGUGCUUAAUAUUAGGCAAGCUCAUAAAUCUUUGCAGGAUCGGAGCCCACCGCUUGUAAAGCAAUUGCUAUGCAAGGAACGUGACUAUUAACCCUCCGAUCUUCUGGGUGUCUUUCUUUGGAAUCGGUAAGUGGGUCCUGUAGUUCCUUCAAACUGUAUUUAAACCACACACACUAUGCUUUUAAAACUAAGCCAUUUUCUGACUAGUUUUCUUUUACCCCAUUGUGAGACAACCUGAGUAACUGACAGAUUACCUUGAGUUUCCUGAGGACAGAAAUACACGUCCCAGUUUGAGGCUUUGAGAGCAAUAAAAGUACAUACAAACCACUAAGAACAGGAAGCGCUGCGGCAUGUUGCUGCGUUCAUAUAAGUCAAAAUUCAUUUAUACAAAUUCCAAAAAACUAAUUUGGCCGGAAGGAAAAACCUCUUUUCCCUGUUUAGAGCAUGGGGAGGCACCGUAAACAUCCUCAGACCAGGCACUUCUGUCCACUCCAAACAGCAGAGCAUUUGUGCGUGUGAGGCGGCUGUUUUGAUUCCCUGCCCACCCUUCAUUGGCAGAAAGAGACAGAACAAAUAUCGCCAGAGACUAUCCACCAAGGUGACCCACAUACACCCUCCAGCUGCAUUGAGGGAGGUGGCAGUGUUUUCAAACCGAAAACACAACAGCAAAAGGCAGAGGAAGAAAACAGCACUGAAGACACAUCCACCCCUCUACCGCACACAUCCCAGCUGGAUCCUCUCUGCUGCAUGUUUCAGUCCCCUUCAAGUACAUUGCCUAAUGGAGACCAUUCGCUAUCUCAGAACACAUAUCCCAUCUGUUGGGAAACUGGAGGUAACUUGGAAUGGAAUGAAGCUGUCCACGGAUGAAGCCCAAUCUUGUAAUCCUUACUUGGGCAAUGAGUCCCAAUGAGACUUCAGUGGGACGACAAGGAUGAAUAAGACAUGGGGAGACUUGGAUGUGUGGUUAAGGGAAGAUCCUGGGAAUCAGGAAACCUGGAUCCUACAUCCAGCGUGACACAGAAUUUUUGCAUGACCCUCGGCAAGUCAUUUUGUCUUCCUGUACAUUGGUUUCCUCAUACAUAAAAUGGGAAAAUGAAUUCCUACACCUCACAGGGAUAUUACAAGACAGUCAAUGUGUAGGCUUGUAAAGUGAAGACGACCCACAUAUCAUCAUUGUAUUUGGCCAAAAAAGUGGAAUACGGACAAAGCAAGUUCUCAGAAUAGUUGCUAUGUUUGUUCACAGCGGAAAAAAAGGAACUUUUCACACUGUAAGAAUGGUGAAGACAGACAAGUCCAGGUCAUGCUGUACAGGCUGCUCUCUCCUUCCUCAAAAGAUCUUAAUCAUAAUGUAUCACUAAUAACAAUGAAACCUGAAAUAUCUGAACCUGAUCCACAACUACAGUUGCUCAGAUUGUUUCCUAGGCCAGGACCCCCAUCAUGCACACGUGUGCUCUCCUGGACAUUGCGACAUUUGUUCCCUCAGCUUUACAAGUAAAAAAAAAAAAAAAAAAAGACAGACAACUCCAUUUUUGUGAAAACAUUCAAAAGAUUUGUGUUCUCAUUCCAAUGUAGAAUGAAAAAUUUCAGAAGUUGCCAGCAAAUGAAGUUGUCAUCCUCCAGGCAGUUGUAGCCACAGCUCCAGGACGUGGAGUUUGAUCCAGAAAAGAGAAAAGAAUGUCUUCCCUUUAAUUAUAAGUACUGGAAGGCCUCGUCUGAGACUGGCACAUGGAUGAUGCACGUGUCUGUGCGUGCGCACUUGCACAAUAAGUACAACACCCUCUCUGAAACGCCCACUCCACGCAGUGCAGUGAUCAAAUACUGAUUCCUUCUCAAGCUAUUGUCCGUUGCUAUUUGCUUUCAGACAGGAAAGCCCUGCUCAAUAGUUUUUCAACAUCAGAGUCAGCAGCCAGCUCUCAAUGACCCAUUUAGUGCCUCACCAAUGAAUGGUUUUUCCAUAGUCUGAAAGGAUUAAGUAUGUUGUUUAUGGUAAUUAGGGUAUGCAAAUUGCAAAAAUCAGCAGAUUUCCCACCUCCUGACAUAAUUUUCACUACAUAUCUUGGCAAGGGCUUUGCUCACAGAGUUUGCAGCACCAGUGAAAGAAAAAGCCCAGAUUUUAGUGGGACAGUGCAGGGUGGGUCAGUGAGGCCAUAUAUUCUCAGGUCAUUGCUGGGGAAAAAAAAGUACACAAUGUAUUUCUAGCAAACAAAUCAAAAGAAAAAGAAAGAAGUGGAUACAGUCUGACUCUUAACACUUGCCGUUCUAUCAGCUUCUAUUUUCCUAUUAAAUAUUUUGCAACAAGAAAAAUUCAUCUUUUUAAAAAAUAAAUGACAUUUCAGACAAAAUGUUGCUGGACUGGCACAAAGAUUCUAAGAGUCCAGACUGUU